rnacentral:tRNA from 1 species
GGACGCUUAGCUCAGUUGGUUAGAGCAUCUGCCUUACAAGCAGAGGGUCGUAGGUUCGAGUCCUAUAGCGUCCACCA